AGGGGAUUCCAAGUUCUAACGCAUUAGCGUUAGCUGUUCUUGUGCCUAAAAAGCACGAGAAGUAAGGGCCGGGUAAGACGGGUGCCAGCCGCCGCGGUAAUACCCGCGGCCCGAGUGGUGCCGAUAUUAUUGAGCCUAAAACGUUCGUAGCCGGUCUUGUAAAUCCAUGGGUAAAUCGAGCAGCUCAACUGUUCGAAUUCCGCGGAGACUGCAAGACUUGGGACUGGGAGAGGUCAGAGGUACUUCUGGGGUAGGGGUAAAAUCCUGUAAUCCUGGAAGGACCACCAGUGGCGAAGGCGUCUGACUAGAACAGAUCCGACGGUGAGGGACGAAGCCCUGGGGCGCAAACGGGAUUAGAUACCCCGGUAGUCCAGGGUGUAAACGCUGC
rnacentral:rRNA from 1 species